UAACCUGCUAAAUAGCCAGGCUAGCUUUGGCUGGUCGCCGGCUUCUUAGAGGGACUAUCGGCUCAAGCCGAUGGAAGUUUGAGGCAAUAACAGGUCUGUGAUGCCCUUAGAUGUUCUGGGCCGCACGCGCGCUACACUGACAGAGCCAGCGAGUUCAUCACCUUGGCCGAAAGGUCUGGGUAAUCUUGUUAAACUCUGUCGUGCUGGGGAUAGAGCUUUGCAAUUAUUGCUCUUCAACGAGGAAUGCCUAGUAAGCGCGUGUCAUCAGCACGCGUUGAUUACGUCCCUGCCCUUUGUACACACCGCCCGUCGCU
rnacentral:rRNA from 1 species